GAAACACAUUUAGGUAUUAAUUACGUGGGGUUUAAAUGACCUGAUGUACUGUGUAUGACCAGCACUGAACUGGCAGUGCUGACGGAAGCACGGAUGGCACUCAGGCCUUCCUCAGGUAUUUCUGCCUGACAUGAGUUCACUCAUCGUGGGGAAAAGCUGCCCACUGGCAGGCAUGGGAGUACAAGGCUGCACCAGAGCUUUUGCUCCCUGGUGAUGGUUUAUUAAGCCAGGUGAAUGCAGUGGGCUUUCCUCCAUUGGCUGUGACCACCACGGUGACUGUGAGCCCAGAGACCGCAUGAGGGACAGCACACAGCCUGGGCUGCGCUUGGGGCAGGAGCCUGAGGCAGUUAUCUAAAAUCACCUUUCUUCAAACACCCGCCACAGCCCUAGAGAUGGGCACAAGAGGGUCCAACCUAAAACAGCGUUCCCCAGAGUGUGAGGCAGGUUACCAUUAUAGGUGAGGCCUGGUGCGUGCCUGCCCAGGGAGCGGAGCUGGGAGCACCCCAAAGAAGGCCCCGCGAGGCAGCAUGGUGCCAGAGCAGCCAGGCCACAGCAGGAAUUGCCCUGCUGGCCUCUCCUCCUUCCUGUGUCUUCCAGCAAUGCUGCUGGCUGCUGGGGAGGAUGGAACAUAAGAAGGGAGAGGGAGUACAAGAGGCCAAAACACAGACAAAACACCUUUUACGCCUUACAUUUCCAAACAGGUGUUAGGGCCUGUCUAUUUCACUCUCAAGGAUUUUUUUUUAACCUUGCUGUAACUGCUGCUGGUAUGGUGAGGUAGGCUCCUCCAGCAGCAUACUCCAGUUGGGGUUCCUGACCUUGCCUCCUUUGCCUUGCAGAGAGCUGCAGCUCCUUGGCUUCGUCGCUUUUCACCUUGGGAUAGGUCAGAAACAUUACCCUGAGGUAAAAAAGCUCACCUCUUUCAGCUGUGAAGGCAAGGCCCAGCUCUGCCUCAGACAUCUCCCUCCGUAACUGGAAUUUCAACAAGUACCUGCCCCUAAGAUUAAUGUUGCGCAGCAUUCCCAGGCACGCCCCGCCACAAACACGGCUGAUCUUCUUCUGGGCCCCAGCACAGCACCAGCAGCCUCCUGCCCGCAGCAACGUGCCCCAGCUCAGGAGUGAGGUUUCCUGCUCAGCCUGAGACACCAACCCACGCCAUUCACUAGUGGGCAAGUGGGGAAACAUCUGCCCCAUGGCAGGACCUGCAGAGCAAGCUCUUACCUAGCUGCAGUGCCUCCUUAGACAGAUCUUUUCCUUUCCCCGCUGACCCUGUUCUUGAAGAUUUAUAUGACCAAUUUAUAAUCUCCUUUUAAUUGCAGAGAUAAUAUAUUUAAAACAUAUGUGCUUCCCGCAGCGCUGUGUGCACUUUGAGUGUUGUCUGCCUUUUGCCCCGUGUGCAUUCACCGAAGGUACUCGUGCAUAUGGAAACAAUCAGACUACCCAAAAGACAACACACUUGAUACUGUUAAUUACAUGGAGUAAACACCACUGGGACUAUAACCAGUCUCUAGAUCUGAGUCAGUAUUUUGCUGCUGAGCUAAAGACGAAAGUCCAUUAUGUGCACUCAUACAGCCGGCUAAGUCCCUGCUGCACACACUGCUGAUUUCUGUACAUGCUACGUGGCAGAGAGCCAAGGAAUUAUAGCACAAACAGGAUUUUAUAACCAGCAUUAUUUAAGGAUGGGCAAACUGUGAAACUGCAAAAGUCAAUGAUUCUAGUGCACUUUCAAUUAAUUUUUAUUGUCAAGUUGUAUUUCAGGAUACUAAAGACCACUGUGAUGACAAGAAGGAGGCUGUGGGAAUAGGCAGGAAUAUAGUAUGCAUGGUUCUUCUCUCUGAUUUAUGAAUCAAUGAAUAACCUAUCUGGAUGGCAAGUUAUUUCUUUCCUCUCGUGUUAGAUGGAAUUCAUCUUUGUCUUGAGUUCCCUCCAGAAAACACAUUUAAGCAAUAUAAAUACAGGUAUCAGGCAUUAUACUGUGGAAAUGGUAUAUCUGAGUCCUUGCACUAAAAUAUCACUUUUUGUGCACUAAAGAUGGCUGUAAUACUUGUGUUGUUCAAACAAUUAAUCAUAUCAUAGAAAUAAAUAAAUGGAGUUAACAUCUCAGCAGCUUCCAGAAGGAACCUCAGAGAGGAUGCUGAAUUUUAAAACGCCACCAUACACUGAAGUCUACAUGCCCAAAGUUUUUAAGUGAGAAUUAAAGCAGGCUAUGUGUGAGUAAUCAAACUGAUGUAUGCUUCCUUCCUUCUUAGGUUGAGUGUCCAGUUCAUCAACUUGGCAUCCUCCAUGUCCCACUAAAACUAGUAGGCCAGUUUAAAGGGACAUGCCAUGCUCAAACCCUUUCAGUUUUACCUGAGAUUAGUUAGGAGGUUUGGGAGGGGUUGCAGGAAGGCAGAACAAUUGCAUAAACCUUGUGUCCUUAGAAAACCUAAAGAAAAAAAAGAAAGAAAGAAAAAAGAAAACAAAUCCACAUGCACUGGAAAAUACCGAUGGAGCUGGGCUGCAGUUAGGUGUCCUCCAGCUUACAACUGAGACAGGCUGUUUUGCUGGUGUGGUUUCUUCUCUGCUUCCUCAGGUUAUUGCUUCAUUGGCUGUCUGCUUAGCUGCCCUUUAAACAAAGUCUGUGAAAUGAUCCGCUUAAAAUAAGUGAUUUUUUUUCUUAACCCAAAAGUCUUCAACAAAGUCUUCAGUGCAAAGCUGUAUCAACUCUUGACUCAGUGGAUUGGGACUGCAGAUGUAAGUCUCUGCAGUACAGGAAGCAGUCUGCAUCUUUUAGAUGUUGUACUGAGGGACAUGGUUUAGUGGGGAAAUACUGAUGAUAGGUGGAUGGUUGGGCUGGAUGAUAUUGGAGGUCUUUUCCAACCUUGGCGAUUCCAUGGUUCAGUGAUGGUGUGUCCAUAAACAGAAGUGGCAAAAAUAUGUCUCUGUGUUACAUCUGUUGUGGUGUUCCUACUUUUCUCAGGUCCACAGCCAUCAGGCAACCUUGCUCCUGCUUCUGUACUGGCUGGUCACUUUGUGCUCAGCUGACACAAACCAUGAUUGUUCUCCAUACAGGUGGGCUGGCACACAGGAAUCCUGACCAGUGUACACUUAGCCCAGCUUCAGAUGUGUUGAACAUCUUCCUUUGGAUCCACUAGUUUUGGCAGACCACAUCUAUGCUGAUUUUUGCUACUGAAGCUCUAUCACACCGAUUUGAGAAUUUAAAUAACGGCAAAGCUAAGCCUGCAACAUUUAAAAUGUUAGCCAAGUUGGAUGUGUUAGCAGCAGGCUUAUCUCCACGUGAAAGCCUGUGUAUGACAAGGCAAAGCAUGGACGCUUUGUACACUGUCACAGUGCACGUAGGCAGCAGACACUCAUGCAGGCUGUGGCAGAAGCCACCAUCGCUGGCUUUCUCCCAGUGCUGGAGGUUUCUGCUACUUCAGUCCAGGCUGUGGGGUGAGAGCUUCCUCUCAUGCAUAGAGAGGGACGUUGUAAACACAAAAUGUAUGUCUCUGCUAACCUGCCCCUGUUCUGGCUGAGAAAAUGCAAAAAACAUUCAAGCACAGUUCAGCAAAGCAGAUCUGAAGGGAUUGUAACCACAGGCACGGAGGAUAACCUCUUCCACCAGCACAUUAACUUGGGAGGACGUGCAUCUGUAGCCCAGCCCCCUGUGUGGACUUUGUUAGAUUAUCUCUAGGGAGAUGACUGCAGAGGAACCUGCAGCUCGUUUGUAGCGUGAAACCACGCAGCUCCUCCUCCAGCUGCCACUGUGCUCCUGCUUAUAGGGCAGCUACUCGGUUCAUCUAUGUUUGCCUUGAAGACAGGGGGCAGGUGUAAGCUUUUUGUACACUCAGCGUGGUUUGUCCCUCCAUGAAACUCAGGGCUUAACAGCAGGGCAAAGAAGAGGAGCUGGGGAGAGAGGGAGGAGAGGCCAGGCUUCUCCAGUGACAUAACGGGUACUCCAGCUAGCUCAUCCUUUUGUGCUCUCCAUCUCUUGCAAUGAAUACAUGAAGAUGCAUGAGGGUAGAACUUCCAAACAGCUGGGACCAACAGCUAAAGAUCACAGCCCACAGCGUAGCUUUUGAGCUGGCUGGUAAUUGGAAACACUGUGCACUCCACUGCUCGGUCUCACAGGCUCCCUGGCCAGCUGUGGGCUGCUCACCACCACCACUGAGCCCACAGUGCAGGGACGAGCCACAGCACACAGUGAGGAUAGGCUGUGGUUGUGGGAGGCCAUCAGGUUGGCUUGCGUGUCUUUUUCCAGGAAGUCGAGUGCAUACUCCCUGCUUCUUCUUUUUACAUGAUCUUCAAGAGUUCAGCUUAAAGCAGCUGCAGAAAAAAGCAUCCUGUUGCAGAAGAGCCAAUGGCCCUGGGAACAGACUGCUUUUAUAAAAAGCCUUACGAGAGCCAGAUGCCCCCUACCCUGACAAAGACUGAUCAGGUGGCUGCUGGUAUCGCCUUUCAGUGCUCAUUGGCAAGGGUGGAAACACAGAAUGAUGGUGAGUUUUCAGGUGGAGAUGCAUUUUAUUUUUGCUUCAGUGAUGCAGAUGGAAAGAGUUGUGCUAUGCAAAGCAGCACCGGUGUAGGGACAAAAAGGAGGACUAUCGGUGUCUGAGAAUGCAUGCAAUUACUGUAAUUUUCACAUGCAGGGUGCCAUGGAUUUAUGCUUUGUGAGAGGUCAGGUCAGAUCAUCAGCAUGGAAAAUAAAUCCAUUGGAUGUAUCUCUGGGGGGUGCAGGAGGCUGUGCUGCAAGUCUUUUGGCACGGGGUGAGUUUUGGACAGGCAGUCACUUUGCAGAUCGGAGAAGGGAGGAAUAGACGCUGAGCUGAGCCGCAAGUCUUUGCAGAACCAAAGCACUAAUUCUUCCUGCAACCGCUCUUGGGUCAUUUCUGAGCCAGGUGGUAAGUCGGGAUGUUUCUUCAAAGUGCCACGUAGGGCUUGCAGAGAUUAUUCAGACCGUUCGUUGCAGUGUUGCAACAAAAUCUUCUUUUUCCUUCCCUCUCUCAUAAUCUGAAUCCUGCUCACACCAGUACCUAACACGCAUUUCAUGAAUUAUUUUGGGGAUGAAACAGAAACUCCCUGCUCGAUCCAGCAGCCUGACAGGUUUUUAU